UCCGGUUUGUCACCGGCAGUCUGAAGUGAGUCCCCAACUUAAUGCUGGCAACACUUCACGGGGGUUGCGCUCGUUGCGGGACUUAACCCAACAUCUCACGACACGAGCUGACGACAACCAUGCACCACCUGUCCACCAGCCCCGAAGGGAAACCCCAUCUCUGGGGCGGUCCGGUGAAUGUCAAGCCCAGGUAAGGUUCUUCGCGUUGCGUCGAAUUAAACCACAUGCUCCGCUGCUUGUGCGGGCCCCCGUCAAUUCCUUUGAGUUUUAGCCUUGCGGCCGUACUCCCCAGGCGGGGCGCUUAAUGCGUUAGCUGCGGCACGGAAUCCGUGGAAUGGACCCCACACCUAGCGCCCAACGUUUACGGCAUGGACUAC
rnacentral:misc_RNA from 1 species